CCAAAGCUGGCGACCGGCGCACGGGUGAGUAACACGUAUCCAACCUGCCUCAUACUCGGGGAUAGCCUUUCGAAAGAAAGAUUAAUAUCCGAUAGCAUAUAUUUCCCGCAUGGGUUUUAUAUUAAAGAAAUUCGGUAUGAGAUGGGGAUGCGUUCCAUUAGUUUGUUGGGGGGUAACGGCCCACCAAGACUACGAUGGAUAGGGGUUCUGAGAGGAAGGUCCCCCACAUUGGAACUGAGACACGAUCCAA
rnacentral:rRNA from 1 species